rnacentral:rRNA from 1 species
GAUGAACGCUGGCGGCGUGCUUAACACAUGCAAGUCGAACGAGAAGUGAAGACGGAAACCUUCGGGCGGAAGGCUUUAUUUCGAGUGGCGGACGGGUGAGUAACGCGUGGGUAACCUGCCUCAUACAGGGGGAUAACAGUUGGAAACGACUGUUAAUACCGCAUAAGACCACAGCACCGCAUGGUGCGGGGGUAAAAACUCCGGUGGUAUGAGAUGGACCCGCGUUCGAUUAGCCAGUUGGCGGGGUAACGGCCCACCAAAGCGACGAUCGAUAGCCGAUCUGAGAGGAUGACCGGCCACAUUGGGACUGAGACACGGCCCAAACUCCUACGGGAGGCAGCAGUGGGGAAUAUUGCACAAUGGGGGAAACCCUGAUGCAGCGACGCCGCGUGAGUGAAGAAGUAUUUCGGUAUGUAAAGCUCUAUCAGCAGGGAAGAAAAUGACGGUACCUGAGGAAGAAGCCCCGGCUAACUACGUG